GGCUUAACACAUGCAAGUCGAGGGGCAGCAUGGUCUUAGCUUGCUAAGACUGAUGGCGACCGGCGCACGGGUGAGUAACACGUAUCCAACCUGCCGUCUACUCUUGGACAGCCUUCUGAAAGGAAGAUUAAUACAAGAUGGCAUCAUGAGUCCGCAUGUUCACAUGAUUAAAGGUAUUCCGGUGGACGAUGGGGAUGCGUUCCAUUAGAUAGUAGGCGGGGUAACGGCCCACCUAGUCUUCGAUGGAUAGGGGUUCUGAGAGGAAGGUCCCCCACAUUGGAACUGAGACACGGUCCAAACUCCUACGGGAGGCAGCAGUGAGGAAUAUUGGUCAAUGGGCGAGAGCCUGAACCAGCCAAGUAGCGUGAAGGAUGACUGCCCUAUGGGUUGUAAACUUCUUUUAUAAAGGAAUAAAGUCGGGUAUGGAUACCCGUUUGCAUGUACUUUAUGAAUAAGGAUCGGCUAACUCCGUGCCAGCAGCCGCGGUAAUACGGAGGAUCCGAGCGUUAUCCGGAUUUAUUGGGUUUAAAGGGAGCGUAGAUGGAUGUUUAAGUCAGUUGUGAAAGUUUGCGGCUCAACCGUAAAAUUGCAGUUGAUACUGGAUAUCUUGAGUGCAGUUGAGGCAGGCGGAAUUCGUGGUGUAGCGGUGAAAUGCUUAGAUAUCACGAAGAACUCCGAUUGCGAAGGCAGCCUGCUAAGCUGCAACUGACAUUGAGGCUCGAAAGUGUGGGUAUCAAACAGGAUUAGAUACCCUGGUAGUCCACACGGUAAACGAUGAAUACUCGCUGUUUGCGAUAUACUGCAAGCGGCCAAGCGAAAGCGUUAAGUAUUCCACCUGGGGAGUACGCCGGCAACGGUGAAACUCAAAGGAAUUGACGGGGGCCCGCACAAGCGGAGGAACAUGUGGUUUAAUUCGAUGAUACGCGAGGAACCUUACCCGGGCUUAAAUUGCAGAUGAAUUACGGUGAAAGCCGUAAGCCGCAAGGCAUCUGUGAAGGUGCUGCAUGGUUGUCGUCAGCUCGUGCCGUGAGGUGUCGGCUUAAGUGCCAUAACGAGCGCAACCCUUGUUGUCAGUUACUAACAGGUUCCGCUGAGGACUCUGACAAGACUGCCAUCGUAAGAUGUGAGGAAGGUGGGGAUGACGUCAAAUCAGCACGGCCCUUACGUCCGGGGCUACACACGUGUUACAAUGGGGGGUACAGAGGGCCGCUACCACGCGAGUGGAUGCCAAUCCCCAAAACCUCUCUCAGUUCGGACUGGAGUCUGCAACCCGACUCCACGAAGCUGGAUUCGCUAGUAAUCGCGCAUCAGCCACGGCGCGGUGAAUACGUUCCCGGGCCUUGUACACACCGCCCGUCAAGCCAUGGGAGCCGGGGGUACCUGAAGUGCGUAACCGCGAGGAGCGCCCUAGGGUAAAACUGGUGACUGGGGCUAAGUCAUAAC
rnacentral:rRNA from 1 species